ACGCUCGACACCUACGGGAGCCAGCAGUUGGGAAUAUUGGACAAUGGAGGAAACUCUGAUCCAGUGACGCCGCGUGAAGGAAGAAGGUCUUCGGAUUGUAAACUUAUUUUGUCAGGGAAGAAAAAUGACUGUACCUGAAGAAAAAGCACCGGCUAACUACGUGCCAACAGCCGCGGUAAUCUGAGCGGGCUGGCAAGGC
rnacentral:rRNA from 1 species